rnacentral:tRNA from 1 species
AUGUUGAUAGUAUAUCCAGUACAGUUGCCUUCCAAGCAGAAAGACCAGAAACGGCCAACAUA